rnacentral:rRNA from 1 species
AGAGUUUGAUCCUGGCUCAGAGCGAACGUUAGCGGCGGGCCUAACACAUGCAAGUCGAACGCGAAAGGUCUUCGGACUGAUUGAGUGGCGCACGGGUGAGUAACACGUAGGUAAUCUACCCUUUGGCGGGGGAUAACGUUCCGAAAGGGACGCUAAUACCGCAUAAGACCACGACGUCUUUGGACGAUGUGGGAAAAGGUGGCCUCUUCUUGAAAGCUACCACCGGAGGAUGAGCCUGCGUCCCAUCAGCUAGUUGGUAAGGUAAUGGCUUACCAAGGCGAAGACGGGUAGCUGGUUUGAGAGAAUGAUCAGCCACACUGGCACUGGAACACGGUCCAGACUCCUACGGGAGGCAGCAGUAGGGAAUAUUGCACAAUGGGGGAAACCCUGAUGCAGCGACGCCGCGUGAGUGAUGAAGGCCUUCGGGUCGUAAAGCUCUGUGGAGAGGGACGAAAACCCUGGUUUCAAAUAGGCUCCAGGCUUGACGGUACCUCUUUAGCAAGCACCGGCUAACUCUGUGCCAGCAGCCGCGGUAAUACAGAGGGUGCAAACGUUGCUCGGAUUUACUGGGCGUAAAGCGCGUGUAGGCGGGUUCGCAAGUCGGACGUGAAAUCCCUGGGCUCAACCCAGGAACUGCGUUCGAAACUGCGAAUCUAGAGUAGUGGAGAGGAAAGUAGAAUUCCCGGUGUAGAGGUGAAAUUCGUAGAUAUCGGGAGGAAUACCAGUGGCGAAGGCGGCUUUCUGGACACUUACUGACGCUGAGACGCGAAAGCGUGGGGAGCAAACAGGAUUAGAUACCCUGGUAGUCCACGCUGUAAACGAUGUGUGCUAGGUGUCGCGGGAUUUGACUUCUGCGGUGCCGUAGCUAACGCGUUAAGCACACCGCCUGGGGAGUACGGCCGCAAGGCUAAAACUCAAAGGAAUUGACGGGGGCCCG